AAGUUGGGGCCCCGUGAGAUCGUCUUCGUUAAGCCGAGGCCUAAUUUACAGGUUUGGUCAUUAAAUUAUUCCCUCAAUACAAAUACUUUCAGCUGCCGAAUUCUGUUCCCACAUCAACUACCCUUUAUCUCAACUCUCAAGUAAAGGAUAAAGCGGGCGAGGAUGGAUAAAUCCCACUUUUUUGAAUGGUCGACAACGAAACAAGAAUACACGUAUCAAACACACGCAAAGAGAGUGUGUUAAAGAGACAAAGAAAGCAAGCAAGCGAACCCUCAAAGCUACCAAACUUCCCAUUCCAAUGGCGACUCCUGUUAAAGUGUACGGACCACCCAUAUCCACAGCUGUGUCCAGGGUCCUAGCUUGUCUCUAUGAGAAAAAAAUGAGUUCGAGCUCAUCUCCAUUAACAUGUCCAAGGGCGAGCACAAGAAGCCUGAGUUCCUCAAGCCCCAGAGUCUCAAGUGAUAUGCUGCUACCUUUGUGACAAGUACGCGGACAAAGGGGACAAAGGACUAUACGGAACAAACCCACUGGCAAAAGCAUCCAUAGAUCAGUGGAUAGAAGUAGAAGGGCAGAGUUUCAAUCCACCAAGCUCAACUUUGGUGUUGCUGGAAAAUUGCCUCAAAUUCCAAUUGUGAUUUAAAAAGUCAAUUAGGUUUCCUAGUUAGAGAAGGAAAAAUUAAUUUGAGUUUUCUUGUUGUAGAGGAAAAGACUAUUUCUUGGUAUGGAAGGAAGUCUAUUCCUUGUUAAAGAGGUAAUGUAUUCCUAGUCUACAAGAAAAUAACAAAAGAAUAUUAUAAAUAGACAAUACUACAAAUAAUUUGAUAGUUUUGGCCCAAGGGUCCUCCCUAUGGGGAAAAGAAAAAUAAAGCGUGAAACUAAGAGAGAGAAAAGGGAUUUUUGCUUGGAAGGAAUGCAAGAGGAAGGAGAGUACAAGGUACUACCGCCUUUGAGAAGACAAAAAAUAGUAUGUGCAAGAGUAAAGAAAGAGGAAGCCACACAAGAAAGAAAAAGAAGAGAGAGCCGCUUAGAGAAAAAGAAGACAGCCAACAGAGAGCUAUGUGUGAAGAAGAAAAAAAGAAGGAGAGAGCAAAGUGUUGCCGCCUUUGAAAGAGAUAAUUAGUGUGUGUGUGUGCGUGUGAGCAAAGAAAAGUAAUAGAGAUCUCUUAUUUUCCUUUAGUCAUGAGACAUACACAAGAAUUAUUGUAAUUGAUUUGAUAAUAGUGAAAUUAUUCAAAAUUUGUCCUGUGAUUUUUCACUCCAAAGAGAAAGGGUUUUCCA